AUGAGGCGGGCUGGAAUCUCUCGGGGUUACAGCCUUGCUGAAUUAUUCACCCUUGUCUUUUGCGUACUUCUUGUUUCCUUGGUGGGUUCGCCCACCACUAGGACAAACAUAAACCUUUUGUAAUUGCAAUCAGCGUCAGUAACAAAUUAAUAAUUACAACUUUCAACAACGGAUCUCUUGGUUCUGGCAUCGAUGAAGAACGCAGCGAAAUGCGAUAAGUAGUGUGAAUUGCAGAAUUCAGUGAAUCAUCGAAUCUUUGAACGCACAUUGCGCCCUUUGGUAUUCCAAAGGGCAUGCCUGUUCGAGCGUCAUUUGUACCCUCAAGCUUUGCUUGGUGUUGGGCGUCUUGUCUCUAGCUUUGCUGGAGACUCGCCUUAAAGUAAUUGGCAGCCGGCCUACUGGUUUCGGAGCGCAGCACAAGUCGCACUCUCUAUCAGCAAAGGUCUAGCAUCCAUUAAGCCUUUUUUCAACUUUUGACCUCGGAUCAGGUAGGGAUACCCGCUGAACUUAAGCAUAUCAAUAAGCGGAGGAA
rnacentral:rRNA from 1 species